GCAAUGCCCAUCAAGAAAAAGAAUUAUAAUUUUGGGUUUGCGAUAAGAUCAUGGGCAAGGCCCAUCAAGAAAACGAUAGCUUGAUUGACAAUGCCCAUCAAGAAAAAUAUUUUCCACUAACCACAAAAUUCGGGCCCUCAUUAACGGACUAAAACACGAUAUUCAUCAUUUUUAUCUCAUUCACUCUAUUCCCAAAUUAAAUUAACACUACUCUAAUUUUAUCAUUUUUCUUAUUAAUUUCUAAUUUUUUUUAAAGUAAAGUCAAAUGGUUAGGUACAUAACUUGAACAAAUUUUUUUCUAAUAUUAAAUUAAUAAAUCCAUUUACAUUUAAAAUUUAUUUAAGAAAACUCAUUAAAUACAAAAGACCAAAUGGUGUAGUCAUUAAUUAAAUUUAAAAUUAUUUAAUUUAUUGUUAUAUUUAUGAGUUAUUUAAUCAAUUAAAAUAAAAAUAAAAAGUGAAGGCAUUGGUAGUAAUAAUUAAUUUAUUAAAAUUAAUUUGUUAAAAAUUAUUUUAAUAAAACAAUUUAUUAAAAUAAAUUAAUUUAUAAAAUUUCCCUCCUAACCCUAAUUUUCAUUUCCUCCUUUCUCUUCCCCCCUUUCUCUUCCAAAUACAUCUCAAGCCUCCAUCUCAAUAUCUCAAACCUCCAUCUCAAUAUCUCAAGCCUCCAUCCAAUCUCACCACUGCCGCUGGAUGCCGACCACCGUAACCCGCCGCCGUCAUUGAAGAUGCAACAGAUAAAGAAAAGUUGUUUUACUUGUAGAUCUUCGGAGCAAGAAAGAUUGAUGAGUUAAUUUGAAUGAUCUCUCAGAGGUUAUUUGAUCUCUCUAAUCUCUAGUAGUAAAUUGAACAAUGCUUUGAUGGUUUAAUAUUUCCUGAUAAGCGGGAUGGAAAACCCGAGUUACAGUUUCAAAAUUUUAUUACCAACUGUUGAACCAAUGAACAAUUCCCCUCACUGGCAUUCUGAGGAACUUAUGUGUGUUGGAGUAGUAGUAGGAAUCUUACUGAUAAUUUCUUUUCUUCUUUCUUCCUUCCUUCCUUUCUUUUUUUUUCUUUAAGCUUAAAACAGUUAAGAUUAUCAUUUUUCUUUUUAGUAUUUAUGUCAUAAUUAUUUUCCGAAUGAUCAUGUUUCUCUAAUUUCACAUAUUGAAUUUGAAAAUUUCAGACGAAAGAGUUUUGGCGUGAAGCUGAGAUUCUUUCAAAGCUUCACCAUCCAAAUGUGGUGGCCUUUUAUGGUGUGGUGCAGGAUGGAUCAGUGUUCAUUUGAAGGUGGUAUUGCGGGAGAACCUAGAUCCGAGGCUCAUGGUGGUUAUGUUUCUCUGCCUUUAUUCAUUUUAUCUUGUUGGAUGUUGUGUUCUCCAGCUUUCAUUGGUAGGAUGAUAAAAGAUAUGAUUGUUCAAUCUCUAUAUAAUUUGAAGGUUCACAAUAUCAUGGAAGUAAGGGAUACCAAUUUUUGAAUGCUCAACACUAUGAAUAUCUUUUCACGUUCCUAGUGGAACUUUUUUCUUUUUGUACCUAAUUAAUAUAUCGACCUCAUCAGGUAUACCUUUUGUGGUUUGGCUACUUUGAUUCUGAUCAAUGAGGUUCACCGGUUGGACUUGCAGAGUUUACUUGUAAGACUUUGUUGAGGAAAAUUAAUCACCAUUGCUAAUCCUGCUCUUCAUUUGUAUUAAGACCAUGUUGUUUGGCUUCAAUGCUACAUGUUAUUUUGACAUGUUAUGGAUAAUAUUGGAAUCUAUUUCAAUACAUUAGGACUGGGUGGUGUUUCGUCAAGCUGCUUUAGAGUGUGGAUUUCAGGGAAGAACAAAUAAGUUGGUUGAUGGAUGCUAUUCGUUUUGGCAGGUUAGUUUUGGUAUUGUUUGAUUCAGCGUUUCUUUGGUUUUCAUUUGAUUUUUUUGUGACAAUAGGGAGGCGUUUGCUCACUAUUAAAAAGAUUAAGUUUGGAUAUUGAUUAACAAUCAGUUCAACCUUAUGCUCGAGAAGGCUCUUCUUUUGAUGAUCUAUCAACUGGUAUGCCAUCAAUUUUCUUCUUUUGUUUUCAACCUAUCCUUAGAGCAUGUUAUCUUCAUCAAUAUUUCUUGGUAUAAAUUGUCAUAUGGUUUUGAUUCUCUUUUGUCCAAUUGGAGAUGUCUUUUGUAACUCAUUUGGCCCUGUAAUUUCAUACAUCAAUGAAGUUGUUAUAAAAAUAAUAGUAGCAAGACAACAGUUACGUGAAUAUAAUGGAUUAAUUUUUUCAGACCAAUUACAAGUUAGAAUUUUGAGCCUAUUCUGAACGUCUGCAACAUACAUCACAUUUUUCUUGAAAAAAUUAGCUUUGUUCUCUUCCAGUCAAAUAGCAAAGCACAAAUUUAGAACUAUACAAUUCCAAAAAUACUUUUUUGCUCCAAGCAUAAAUUGCCCUAGUAAACAAAGAUUAGACAUCUCAUUACGGGAAAAUACGGUGUAUGUACUCGGUUCGUUAAGAAUUGAAAUCUAUGGUCAACACGUAAAUAUUUAACCGUAAGUUCACAUUAAGUGUAUAUUUAUUAUGUAAAUUGCAGUUUGUUAUUUUUUUUAUUCUUUUUAAUUCAGAAGCUUAAGAAUGUUUUAUGCUGAAAUAAACACAAGAGCUCGACCUCUUACUUGGGUUUCUGUUAAGUGUGCUCAACAGCCGGGCAGUACAGAAUGUGGGUAUUACGUGAUGAAGUUCAUGCAAGACAUAGUAAGGCAAAAGAGCAUUACAAUUACAGAUGUGUUGAUGAGACGAGCACCUUAUACUCAAUUUGAAUUAGAUAUGGUGAGAGUGGAAUACUGUGACUUUCUAGAACGCUACAUAUGAUACAUGUUUUUAUUGCAAUGAACGGGUAGUUUUUAUAUUUAUAGUUUAGGUAUAUCUUGAUACGAUGUCCAUUUCUGUAGGAUUAUGUCUUAAUCAUAUUUGUUAGAUAUUGUUUUUUGUAGAACAACAUUGGUUUACAGUUGAUUAAUGAAAAUUAAUUAGUUCA